rnacentral:lncRNA from 1 species
AGGUGUGAGCCACCGCGUCCUACCGGGAGGUGGUUGUUAAUUGGACUAGGUUUGGUUCAGUUCAGGAAAGCCUUCAUCACCAGGCUAAAGAAUCUGGACUCAAUACCCAAAGACAAUGGGGACCAUCGAAGAUUGUUGAACACGAGGAGUUCAUCAUCUGAGAAGCGUUUUAGCAAAAUUAAGCUGAGCAAGCAGCAGUGAGAAGGAGGAUGUUUUGAAGAGGAGGUAAACUGAAGGUGGGACAGGGAAACGAACUAGUCAUUGCAAGGACAGUUAAGAAGUUGUUGCAAGGCCAGGCACGGUGGCUCAUGCCUAUAAUCUCAGCACUUUGGGAGGCUGAAGCGGGAGGCUCACUUGCACCCAGGAGUUCAGAAUCAGCCUGGGCAACAUGGCAAAAUUCUGUCCCUACAAAAAAUACAAAAAAGGC